rnacentral:rRNA from 1 species
GCGAGUGAAGCGGCAAAAGCUCAAAUUUGAAAUCUAGCACCUUCGGUGUUUGAGUUGUAAUUUGAAGAUGGUAACCUUGGGUUUGGCUCUUGUCUAUGUUCCUUGGAACAGGACGUCAUAGAGGGUGAGAAUCCCGUCUGAUGAGAUGCCCAUUCCUAUGUAAGGUGCUAUCGAAGAGUCGAGUUGUUUGGGAAUGCAGCUCUAAGUGGGUGGUAAAUUCCAUCUAAAGCUAAAUAUUGGCGAGAGACCGAUAGCGAACAAGUACAGUGAUGGAAAGAUGAAAAGAACUUUGAAAAGAGAGUGAAAAAGUACGUGAAAUUGUUGAAAGGGAAGGGCAUUAGAUCAGACUUGGUGUUUUACGAUUAUCUUCUCUUCUUGAGUUGUGCACUCGUAUUUCACUGGGCCAGCAUCGAUUCGGAUGGCAAGAUAAUGGCAGUUGAAUGUGGCUUCACUUCGGUGGAGUGUUAUAGCUUCUGCUGAUAUUGCCUGUCUGGAUCGAGGGCUGCGUCUUUUGACUAGGAUGCUGGCGUAAUGAUCUAAUGCCGCCC